GCAGUCGAGCGAGGCCUGGGGGGCAACUCCCAGAGUCGAGCGGCGGACGGGUGAGUAACACGUGGGUAACCUGCCCGGAAGUGGGGAAUACCUCGGGGAAACUCGAGCUAAUUCCGCAUGACAUCUCCGGGACGAAAGUCCUGGCGAUCAAAGCGGGGUCGCAAGACCUCGCGCUACCGGAUGGGCCCGCGCCCGAUUAGCUAGUUGGUGAGGUAACGGCUCACCAAGGCUUCGAUCGGUAACCGGCCUGAGAGGGCGAUCGGUCACACCGGAACUGAGACACGGUCCGGACUCCUACGGGAGGCAGCAGUGGGGAAUCUUGCGCAAUGGGCGAAAGCCUGACGCAGCAACGCCGCGUGGAGGAUGAAGGCCCUUGGGUUGUAAACUCCUGUCGGCUGGGAAGAAAUCGCUCGUGGUUAAUACCCACGGGCGUUGACUGUACCAGCAAAGGAAGCCCCGGCUAACUCUGUGCCAGCAGCCGCGGUAAUACAGAGGGGGCCAGCGUUAUUCGGAAUUAUUGGGCGUAAAGGGCGCGUAGGCGGCCAUGCGUGUCUUCCGUGAAAUCCCUCGGCUUAACUGAGGACGUGCGGAAGAAACUGCAAGGCUCGAGUCCGGGAGAGGGGGGGUGGAAUUCCCAGUGUAGCGGUGAAAUGCGUAGAUUUUGGGAGGAACACCGGUGGCGAAGGCGGCCCCCUGGACCGGUACUGACGCUGAUGCGCGAAAGCGUGGGUAGCAAACGGGAUUAGAUACCCCGGUAGUCCACGCCGUAAACGAUGGGCACUUGGUGUCGCGGGUAUCGACCCCUGCGGUGCCAAAGCUAACGCAUUAAG
rnacentral:rRNA from 1 species